rnacentral:rRNA from 1 species
CAGCCCCUACGGGGCGCAGCAGUGGGGAAUAUUGGGCAAUGGGCGCAAGCCUGACCCAGCAACGCCGCGUGCAGGAAGAAGGUCUUCGGAUUGUAAACUGUUGUCGCAAGGGAAGAAGACAGUGACGGUACCUUGUGAGAAAGUCACGGCUAACUACGUGCCAGCAGCCGCGGUAAUACGUAGGUGACAAGCGUUGUCCGGAUUUACUGGGUGUAAAGGGCGCGUAGGCGGACUGUCAAGUCAGUCGUGAAGUACCGAAGCUUAACUUCGGGGCUGCGAUUGAAACUGACAGCCUUGAGUAUCGG